GACGAACGCUGGCGGCGUGCUUAACACAUGCAAGUCGAACGGAAAGGCCCUGCUUUUGUGGGGUGCUCGAGUGGCGAACGGGUGAGUAACACGUGAGUAACCUGCCCUUGACUUUGGGAUAACUUCAGGAAACUGGGGCUAAUACCGGAUAGGAGCUCCUGCUGCAUGGUGGGGGUUGGAAAGUUUCGGCGGUUGGGGAUGGACUCGCGGCUUAUCAGCUUGUUGGUGGGGUAGUGGCUUACCAAGGCUUUGACGGGUAGCCGGCCUGAGAGGGUGACCGGCCACAUUGGGACUGAGAUACGGCCCAGACUCCUACGGGAGGCAGCAGUGGGGAAUAUUGCACAAUGGGCGGAAGCCUGAUGCAGCAACGCCGCGUGCGGGAUGACGGCCUCCGGGUUGUAAACCGCAUUCGCCUGUGACGAAGCGUGAGUGACGGUAAUGGGUAAAGAAGCACCGGCUAACUACGUG
rnacentral:rRNA from 1 species